rnacentral:rRNA from 1 species
GACGAACGCUGGCGGCGCGCCUAACACAUGCAAGUCGAACGAGCGAGAGAGAGCUUACUUUCUCAAGCGAGUGGCGAACGGGUGAGUAACGCGUGAGGAACCUGCCUCAAAGAGGGGGACAACAGUUGGAAACGACUGCUAAUACCGCAUAAGCCCACAGCUCGGCAUCGAGCAGAGGGAAAAGGAGCAAUCCGCUUUGAGAUGGCCUCGCGUCCGAUUAGCUAGUUGGUGAGGUAACGGCCCACCAAGGCGACGAUCGGUAGCCGGACUGAGAGGUUGAACGGCCACAUUGGGACUGAGACACGGCCCAGACUCCUACGGGAGGCAGCAGUGGGGAAUAUUGCACAAUGGGGGAAACCCUGAUGCAGCGACGCCGCGUGGAGGAAGAAGGCCUUCGGAUUGUAAACUCCUGUUGUUGAGGAAGAUAAUGACGGUACUCAACAAGGAAGUGACGGCUAACUACGUGCCAGCAGCCGCGGUAAAACGUAGGUCACAAGCGUUGUCCGGAAUUACUGGGUGUAAAGGGAGCGCAGGCGGGAAGACAAGUUGGAAGUGAAAUCCAUGGGCUCAACCCAUGAACUGCUUUCAAAACUGUUUUUCUUGAGUAGUGCAGAGGUAGGCGGAAUUCCCGGUGUAGCGGUGGAAUGCGUAGAUAUCGGGAGGAACACCAGUGGCGAAGGCGGCCUACUGGGCACCAACUGACGCUGAGGCUCGAAAGUGUGGGUAGCAAACAGGAUUAGAUACCCUGGUAGUCCACACUGUAAACGAUGAUUACUAGGUGUUGGAGGAUUGACCCCUCCAGUGCCGCAGCUAACACAAUAAGUAAUCCACCUGGGGAGUACGACCGCAAGGUUGAAACUCAAAGGAAUUGACGGGGGCCCGCACAAGCAGUGGAGUAUGUGGUUUAAUUCGACGCAACGCGAAGAACCUUACCAAGUCUUGACAUCCUGCGACGGUGCUGGAAACAGUACUUUCCUUCGGGACGCAGAGACAGGUGGUGCAUGGUUGUCGUCAGCUCGUGUCGUGAGAUGUUGGGUUAAGUCCCGCAACGAGCGCAACCCUUAUGGUCAGUUACUACGCAAGAGGACUCUGGCCAGACUGCCGUUGACAAAACGGAGGAAGGUGGGGAGGACGUCAAAUCAUCAUGCCCUCUAUGACUUGGGCUACACACGUACUACAAUGGCGUUAAACAAAGAGAAGCAAGACCGCGAGGUGGAGCAAAACUCAGAAACAACGUCCCAGUUCGGACUGCAGGCUGCAACUCGCCUGCACGAAGUCGGAAUUGCUAGUAAUCGCAGAUCAGCAUGCUGCGGUGAAUACAAAGGCCCCCCUUGCACA